rnacentral:misc_RNA from 1 species
AUUUUACAUUUGAUUAUACCAUGAAACUUCAGACAGCUUUAUUUCUGGUGACUAUGCUUGGGAUGUCAUUGACUCUUAUGCAAGUGGAAGGAAAUUUGGGCGAUGAAGCUAUUCCAGCUAAUGGUAAUGCAGAACUGGUUAUCUAAUCUUAUUUUUUUUAUUUUAUAAGUUGAUUUAGACCGAUAAGUUAUGAUAAUUCCCUUAUGAAUAUAUUUUCUACCUAAUUUAGAGUAGUAUUUAUGCUAUCGUGUUGUUUCUGUUCCGGAAAUGUGUUCAGAUAAUUUGUGUAAUUAUAUCGCUUUGAUAAUUUGUUUUUUUGUGUCUGAUUUGGUUAAGUCAAGUGAUUUUGCUAAAAUACGUACUAAAUAAUUUUUGUAACAUUUCUAUAUUCUAUUUCAGGCGUUUUUUUGAAUGAUAAACCAAAAUUUUCGAUGGGGAGACAGAGUAGUAUGAUCGCCGUUGAUGGAUUAAUUCGCCGAAUACCACGACCUUUAUCUUGGCGUAGAGUGAGGACGUAAAGUGGCUUAUAUACGAACGUUCGAAUUGCACAUUUAGAAUAACCCGAAAUUACACAUUUCCGAAACAUUAUUUAUCACCAAAUCUAUUACUACCACAAAAAACCUCAAGAGAUCGAUGUCCAUUAAACAACUCUGUAAACAGACUGAUUCUGAUAAUACAAUCAAUUACCUGUGAAACCCUGAUGCAAACAAAAAUCAUACACGUGUGAUAUGAUGAAGUGGGUAAUAACGGUUACAAACAUAACAAUAUACGUACAUGUAUUUUCAUUUUACUUACAUUUUAAUAUUCUUAUAUGUUUUUAAUGCAAAAUCAAGUCAAAGUUUUAUAACAUUAUAUUCAAAUCAAAAUUUUCAUUGCAAUAAAUUGUAUCAAAUACCUUGGAAGACAAUGAUUUCAUGUCGCUUGUUCUUUGACGCUAUUAAACAAGCUUUUAUUUAAUUCCAAUGCAUAUUUAAAA